rnacentral:rRNA from 1 species
UACGUAGGUGGCGAGCGUUGUCCGGAUUUACUGGGCGUAAAGGGCUCGUAGGCGGCCAACUAAGUCAGACGUGAAAUCCCUCAGCUUAACUGGGGAACUGCGUCUGAUACUGGAUGGCUUGGAUUUGGGAGAGGGAUGCGGAAUUCCAGGUGUAGCGGUGAAAUGCGUAGAUAUCUGGAGGAACACCGGUGGCGAAGGCGGCAUCCUGGACCAAUAUUGACGCUGAGGAGCGAAAGCCAGGGGAGCAAACGGG